GCGAGUGUAGCAUAAUUGGUUAAUGCUCCUACCUUCCAACAAGUAGACUACUGCGAGUUCGAGUCUCGCCACUUGCA
rnacentral:tRNA from 1 species